UCAGACGAUGCGUCAUGCAUAUCAAUAAGCGGAGGAAAAGAAACUAACAAGGAUUCCCCUAGUAACGGCGAGUGAAGCGGGAAGAGCUCAAAUUUGAAAUCUUAAAGGGUUUCCCUUUACGAAUUGUAGUUUAAAGAAGUGUUUUCUGUUGAGGUUUUGGUAAAAGUUCUUUGGAAUAGGACAUCAUAGAGGGUGAGAAUCCCGUAUUUGACCUUUACUUUCAACUUUGUGAUACACUUUCAAAGAGUCGGAUUGCUUGGGAAUGCAGUCCAAAAUGGGUGGUAAAUUUCAUCUAAAGCUAAAUAUUGGCGAGAGACCGAUAGCGAACAAGUACCGUGAGGGAAAGAUGAAAAGAACUUUGAAAAGAGAGUUAAACAGUACGUGAAAUUGUCAAAAGGGAAGCGUUUGACACCAGUGUUGUUUUUCUGAAAAUCAAUUAAAGAACUGUUUAUGCUAAGCUGUUUAGACUUUAUCAGCUAUCUGUUUAGUUUUGAGCUUUUCUUUAAUGCACUUUUCAGUUAACAAGUCAACAUCAAUUUCUUUUGCUGUAAAAAAGCUUGAGGAAGGUGGCUUGAGAUUCGUCUUAAGUGUUUAUAGCCUCUUGCCUAUGCAGUCGGAGAGAUUGAGGUCUGCAGCGUAGAUCCUUCGGGGCUAAAUGCAUUUGUGCUAAGUUAUAGCAUUUUAUAGACAACUUGUUGACUAUGAUUUGUCUUGUAGCUUACUCGCUUAUGUUAUUUUACCUACGCUUAGGAUGUUGAGCGCAUGUCUCUCUCU
rnacentral:rRNA from 1 species